UUUGAUCUGGCUUGUGUACCUAACACCAAGU
rnacentral:piRNA from 1 species